UUCGAAGUGAUAAAACUUUUCAACUUAAGUUUACGAAGGUUGUAAAGCUCGCCGAAUUUUGGAUGCAUCUUCGUACAAACCAUAACAGAGCAUGCAUUGAUCGCCCCAGGACAUCAUUAGGAAACUAAAAUUGCGUUCAUGAAAUAUCUUCUCUGGAGGGCGUAGAGAACACUGAGGUUAAUUCUAUUCGUCUCCCAAAUAAUCGUUCUUCUCGGCCGAUAACCUUUUAGAUUGAGACAAGGUUUUCCGAAAGGUGGCUCAUGGACCAAGGGCAGCCCUAAAAUUACGUUGGUGGUGACGAAGAUCCACUUUCCCACUCAGCGUCAUGGGACAUUCAUGGGCAGUCAGAGGUUAUAGUAGAUUCACAUCAACCGCCAGUCCCAUACAACGCUCCUGAUUGGCUGUUGAUAAGCCAAUCACAGGGCCGGAAAGUCUCAGUGUCUCUCAAAUAUAGUACCCUACAGACUACCCUCUUGGUUGACAUUUUCUCACGCCAUCUUGCAGCUUCUCGUUUAAACCGUUAGUUGAUUAUUCCUUGAUUUUCGCUCAUUUCCUCUACCUUUUUAUAUUCAAGAACGUCGUGAAAAGUGUUGGAUGGGUAAAGGAACGAGAAGCAUUUGGUAUUGAGAAAGAUGAAGGUCUGAGUCAAAAUGAAUAUGCCUUUUGCCUGGUUUGGUGUGCAUGUUGGAGUCUUAAGAUAGAUAGACAGAUUAGGAUAGAUUGAAAACAUUUUACACGAAAAAGAUUUUUUUUCCUGUCGUAGAACGGAUGCAGCAUUACUGAAGCCUCAAGGUAUCAUAACAUUCUUGCCUCGCAACAAUUCAGUGUAAUUAUCCCUGACUAACUUCGUUUUCUUUCAUUUCUGUGUGGCAAAGUGUGGACUCUUAAAUAGGUUUGGGGCACGGGUAAAGUCUACCAGAUUAAAAGUAAUGUAGUUGAAAGAGAAAGCACGGUUGUAUUUUUUUCACACAAUCUGGAGUAAAUGUGCCUUCGUAAUAGAAU